AGUCUGACGGAGCAACGCCGCGUGAGUGAUGAAGGUUUUCGGAUCGUAAAGCUCUGUUGUUAGGGAAGAACAAGUGCAAGAGUAACUGCUUGCACCUUGACGGUACCUAACCAGAAAGCCACGGCUAACUACGUGCCAGCAGCCGCGGUAAUACGUAGGUGGCAAGCGUUGUCCGGAAUUAUUGGGCGUAAAGGGCUCGCAGGCGGUUUCUUAAGUCUGAUGUGAAAGCCCCCGGCUCAACCGGGGAGGGUCAUUGGAAACUGGGAAACUUGAGUGCAGAAGAGGAGAGUGGAAUUCCACGUGUAGCGGUGAAAUGCGUAGAGAUGUGGAGGAACACCAGUGGCGAAGGCGACUCUCUGGUCUGUAACUGACGCUGAGGAGCGAAAGCGUGGGGAGCGAACAGGAUUAGAUACCCUGGUAGUCCACGCCGUAAACGAUGAGUGCUAAGUGUUAGGGGGUUUCCGCCCCUUAGUGCUGCAGCUAACGCAUUAAGCACUCCGCCUGGGGAGUACGGUCGCAAGACUGAAACUCAAAGGAAUUGACGGGGGCCCGCACAAGCGGUGGAGCAUGUGGUUUAAUUCGAAGCAACGCGAAGAACCU
rnacentral:rRNA from 1 species